rnacentral:rRNA from 1 species
UACGUAGGGGGCGAGCGUUGUCCGGAUUUAUUGGGCGUAAAGAGCGUGUAGGCGGUUCGGUAAGUCUGUCGUGAAAUCCUGAGGCUCAACCUCGGGCGUGCGAUAGAUACUGCCGGGCUAGAGGGUGGUAGAGGCGAGUGGAAUUCCCGGUGUAGCGGUGAAAUGCGCAGAUAUCAGGAGGAACACCGGUGGCGAAGGCGGGUCUCUGGGCCGAUACUGACGCUGAGGAGCGAAAGUGUGGGGAGCGAACAGG